UCCGAGAUCGUCUAGUGGCAGGACAGCAGAUUCUGGAUCUGCUUACCUAGGUUCGAAUCCUAGUCUCGGAACCA
rnacentral:tRNA from 1 species